UUGUCCAAUAACAAACUUAAAGGUAGAGUGCCACAUUGGUUGCAUGAAAUAUCGUUAUCUGAAUUGGACCUCUCUCAUAACCUAUUGACACAAUCAUUGCACCAAUUCUCGUGGAACCAACAACUCGGUUACCUUGAUCUUAGUUUUAACUCAAUCACUGGUGACUUCUCUUCCUCAAUUUGCAAUGCAAGUGCAAUUCAAAUUCUCAACUUGUCUCACAACAAGUUGACAGGAACCAUUCCACAAUGCCUUGCAAACUCAUUAUCCCUUCAAGUUUUGGAUCUACAACUGAACAAGCUUCAUGGCACUUUGCCAAGUAUCUUUUCAAAGGACUGUCGGCUCAGAACUCUGGAUCUCAAUGGCAACCAACUAUUAGAAGGUCUUUUGCCAGAAUCUUUGUCCAAUUGCAUUCAUCUGGAGGUUUUAGAUCUUGGAAACAAUCAAAUAAAGGAUGUGUUUCCCCAUUGGCUUCAAACUCUACCAGAAUUGAAAGUAUUGGUUUUGCGAGCCAACAAGUUGUACGGUCCCAUUGUCGGUUUAAAGAUCAAGCAUGGAUUCCCCCGUUUAGUCAUCUUUGAUGUCUCUUUCAACAACUUCAGCGGCCCAAUACCAAAAGCCUACAUACAAAAAUUUGAAGCGAUGAAGAACGUUGUUAUAGAUACCGAUCUGCAGUACAUGGAAAUUUCUAUUGGAGCUAAGAUGUACAGUGAUUCUGUGACUAUAACAACAAAAGCAAUUACUAUGACAAUGGACAAAAUUCCAAAAGGCUUUGUCAGCAUUGAUUUAUCAAAAAACGGAUUUGAAGGAGAGAUUCCAAAUGCCAUUGGAGAGCUUCAUGCCCUCAGAGGGCUCAACCUUUCCCAUAACAGAAUUAUUGGUCCUAUUCCCCAAUCCAUGGGAAAUUUGACAAACUUAGAAUCAUUGGAUCUCUCCUCAAAUAUGCUCACUGGUGGGAUACCUACGGAAUUAAGCAACUUGAACUUCCUUGAAGUCCUAAAUCUUUCCAAUAACCAUCUUGCUGGAGAAAUACCUCGAGGACAACAGUUCAGUACUUUUACCAAUGAUUCCUAUGAGGGAAACUCUGGGUUAUGUGGACUCCCACUGACAAUCAAAUGCAGCAAGGACCCUGAACAACAUUCUCCACCUUCAACUACCUUGAGGAGAGAAGGAGGAUUUGGAUUUGGUUGGAAACCAGUGGCUAUAGGAUAUGGAUGUGGAAUGGUCUUUGGAGUGGGAAUGGGAUGUUGUGUAUUGUUAAUAGGAAAGCCUCAAUGGCUUGUGAGAAUGGUCGGAGGUAAACCCAAUAAAAAGGUGAAAAGGAAGACAAGGAUGAGAUCUAAUGAAAAUGGUAGCAGAAUGAAUUAGUUGAUAUAUGGCAUGACUGGAGAAUGUCUUGUUACAUACCUGCCAUCUUUGAAAACAAAACUUAAGGGCAAGAACUUUAUCACACUGCAUUGCAUGGGAGAUCUGGUUCAAAGUUUUGCUGUAAUAUGAAUGUGUUAUACUCUUGCUUUUGUCGUAUAACUGUGGCAUUAAUUGGUUGUAUAAUAAUAGAUGUUGUAUAUUUUUAAAAAUGGUAUGUAUUGGCCAAUGCUAAAAUAUUUUGUAUCUUAAUUCAAGGAGCUGAAUUCACGGUUUUAGCUUCCAUUGUAGUCUAUUUAAUUAAUUUUCUAACUAUUUAACCACCGUGACAUGGCUUUAGAAGCUGAGGGGUCCAGGGACUUAACUAUAAGAGCACAAACAAUGCAUACUAAAAAGUUGCAUAUUUAUUUUUAUAGCCUAGGCCUCAUGGUCCGUAGGAUAUCACAUAUUUAUUUUUUAUUAAGUAAUUUUUCCCAAAUUAGAACAAUUGUCUGGUGAAAAUUUUCAAACUUUGAAAUAAAAGUUGCAGUACUAAAAUCAGUUAUAAUUAAACCUAAACUUUUUCUUUUUCAAUUACUAUUACGAUAAAUUGGUAGUGGUACGUGCUGUAAAUAUUACAUCUACUUAUAAUGUCAGCACCCAAAAAUUAUUUUUAUAAUGUAAAAUUUACAUUGUCAUUAAUUUGCUUUAUUAAUUUUUAUUAUAACUAUUUUAAAUUUAUAUUAUUAUCAUAAAAUCUGAAAAAUCGUAUCUAUAAUUUUUAAUUAAGCGUAAAAUUUUGUAACUUUUAUAAAUUUUAGUAAAUAUUAAAAAAAUAUAUAAUAUAAUGCUAGUAUUUUUCAAAAAAAUCAACAUUAUCAUUAAAUAAACCUGUGUGUUGUACAAUAAUUCCCUUUUAUCAUUCAAAAGAAAAAUUGAAACUGUUAUUCAAAAUAAAAUAACCAUUAGUGAAUUUUAUGAUAAUUACCUUAAUGAUUAAAUAUAUUUAGUUAAUUUUUUUUGCUCCCUAAUAAAUUUUUGUUUUGUUUUGAGUACUAUAUAAAACAAUAAUUUUAUUUUUGGUCCUAGAUAUUUUGUUGUAUAUAAUCCCUAAUAAGUUAGCAAAUUUUUGUUUACUUCCUUUUAAAUUAACAAAUUUUGUUUUAGUCCCAACUAAUAACAAAUGAAAAAAAUUAUCAAGAAAUAAACACACAAUUUGUGAAUCUAUCAGGGACUAAGAAAAGUAUCAAGAACCAAAAUAAAAUGAUUUUUUUAUUAGAAACUCAACGAAAAGUAAAAAUUUAUUAAAAAUUAAAUACAAAAAAUAAAUAUUUAUUAGGGAUUAAAAUUAUAAUUAAAACUUGUCUUAAAUAUUAAAUCUAUUAUAAUUAUUAAUUGGUUCACAACAUAUAAAUAUUUACACUUGUUAAAAUAUACUAUAAUUUCUCUUAAAUUAUUAGGUAAAAUUGGUAAGAGUGUGAGAAACUUAAUUAUUUAUCAAUACCAGCUAUGUGAAUGAACUAAUGUGGGUUUUUGAGCUAGAGACUCUUGGGAAAAAAAUAUUGUCUCAUAAUGAGAAGAAUACAUCAUAAAAAAAUAGAAAAUAUAAAAAUUUGUUUAAUAUGUUUCAACCCUCAUCCUUGCAUUGACAAUAUUAUACAUUUUAAGGAUAACAUAGAAAAAUUUACAAACAUUUUCUCCUUACGAUUUCCCCUCUGUUUGUUAGGGUAGUGACAGUUUCUUCGCACUAGAUGUGGUGAUUCUUCUCAUCUCAAAAAAUCUCUAUUUAUAAACCUAACAUUCUAAUAUUAACUGAAUUCAAAUCCUUAAUUUAUAAAUAAUAUAUUUAAUUCUAAAUGAUAUCCUAAAAAUAAGAUAAUAUCUUUUUUAAAAGCUAAACAAUAUCCUAUAGAUUUGUUAUUCAUUGAUUGAACCAUCAUUAAUUCCUACAUCCACAACUUUUAUAUAAGAUUUUAUGACAAGCAAGACAAACUUGCAAACCUUCCCUUGAUAUGACUCAUCUCUCUUAGGGUAUUGACCUAGGUUGAGUGAUUAUUCUUAUCUCAUAAAUCUUAUUUUAUAGACAUAACAUUCUAAUCUUAAAUGAGGAAACAAAUACCUAAUUUAUUAAUAAUAUAUUUAAUUUUAUCAACAUUCUAAAAAUAAGAUAAUAUCUUUUUUUAAGAAAAUAAAUAUCUUAUAGAUUUGAGAAUACAAAUAAGAUAUAUCUAACAAGAAGCAAAGUUGGACUUAUGUAGAUCAACCAACUAAUCCCUAUACCCACUCAUCACCUAAGCUCAGCCAAAACUCGCUUAGGCCUCAACCCUGCAUCGCUUAAGCUCUUAGCCAACACCACUUAAGCUACAUAAAAAAACAUGCUAAUUUUUGUGCCCAUUCUAGCUUAAGCGCUACCCAACACCAUUUAAGCUACUUCAAACUAAUUUACUCAAAUUAAAAAGAAUAAUGAUUCAACUAUUUAAUCACUACACAUUAAAUACCUAAUUUAUUUUCCGCACAUCACGCAACUGGUCCAUUUAUCUUUUUUAUUUAUUUCUUACAUGUAAUUUUCUUUUUAUUUUUUAAAAUCCAAAAUUUUCAUCUCUAUUUUAAAAUAAAGAUAUUUAAUCGAUUGUUUUUUACGAUCUAUAAUUUUAAUUUUCUAUUUUAAAAUAGAAAUAUUAGUCAUUUAUAUUUAUAAAAUAUGGAAUUUUAGUUAUCCCCAACUAAAAGCUUUGAUUGUUAAGAGCUUAAUCUUUAUUAUGAUAUAGAUUAACUAAAUUAUCUUGUGUCACAUUAUUAGAUUUGAAUCACAUCAAGUUAGCUUCUUACUAAUCAACGCUAAAUGAUUAUGUGGAUAUAAUCACAAAUGAUCAAAAUUAUAAAUUUUAUAACCUUAAGUAAUUAAUUGUUUUUAUUUUAAAAUAGAAGUAUUAAAAUUGUAAAAUAUAAAAAUUAAGACGGUCAAAUAUUUUUUAAAAUAUAGAAAUCAAAAUUAGAUAUUUUGAAAAUAGGAAAAAAUUACAUUUAAGUUUUUAUUUUUAUUUUUUACCGGAGGUCCAUAUGUCUAGUACUUAGAAAUCACGUCAUUAUAAAAAUGCGCCACUAGAGCAUAAUAUAAUAGCAUGAAGGACGUCAUUAUAAUUACAUUUAAGCCAUGAAGAACGUUGUUAUAUAUGCCAAUCCGCAAUACAUGGAAACUUCUGUUAUGGUUAGUGACACCAACAACACUGAUCAUGAAACCAACUACGCUGAUUCUGUGACUGUAACAAAAAAAAACAAUUACUAUGAAAAUGGACAAAAUUCGAAAUGACUUUGUAAGCAUUGCACAACAGAUUUGUAGGAGAGAUAUUCCAAAUGCCAUUGGAGAGCUUCACUCACUCAGAGGGCUAAACCUUUCCCAUAACAGAUUUAUUGGUCCUAUUCUACAAUCCAUUGGAAAUUUGACAAAGUUAGAAUCAUUGGAUCUCUCCUCAAAUAUGCUCACUGGCGGGAUACCUAGAGAAUUAAGCAAUUUGAACUUUCUUGAAGUCCAAAAUCUUUCCAAUAACCAUCUUGCAUUUGUGGGAGAAAUACCUCAAGGAAAACAGUUCAGUACUUUUUCCAAUGACUCCUAUGGUAGAAACUUGGGGUUGUGUGGACUCCCAUUGACAGCAGAAUGCAGCAAGGACCUUGAACAACAUUCUCCACCUUCACUAACCGUUGGGGGAGAACAGGGAGUUGGAUUUGGUUGGAAACCAGUGGCUAUGUGAUAUGGAUGCGGAAUGGUCUUUGGAGUGGGAAUGGGAUGUUGUGUAUUGUUAAUAGGAAAGCCUCAAUGGCUAGUGAGAAUGGUUGGAGGUCAACUCAAUAAAAAGGUGAAAUGGAAGACAAGGAUGAGAGCUAAUGAGAAUGGUAGCAGACUGAAUUAGUUGAUAUGUGGCAUGACUGUAGAAUGUCUUCUUGCACACCUUCCUGUUGAAAUUCAAUUCUGCCUUGUUGGAAAACAAAACUUAAGGGCAAGAACCUUAUCACACUGCAUUGCAUAUGCAUGCGAGAUCUGAUUCAAAGUUUAGUUGUAAUUGUAAUAUGGUGUUGUACUUUUUUUUCUUUGUGUUCAAUAAAUGAGUGUGAUAUACUUUUUUUUUUCUUCCAUUGCCCCAGAAACUCGGGUCUGAAUCAUCCAAAAGUUUGAUAAUUUUUCUGUUCAUUAAUACGCUUAGAUUGUUUUAUUUUUUUAAACUUUUUUAUAUUGGUGAAUAGUAUCAAGUUAAGUAGUGAAUAAUGUGUUGACAAUCAACAAUCAUUUCGCUAAUAUGCUGCAUAUUAGAAAAUUGUAGCAGUCAUUAAUACCAAUUUGCAUUAUGCACGCUAUUUUGAUCCCAUUGCUGUUGUGGAAGUAGUUUUGCUCCAGACAAGGAAUGGAAAUUGACCAGGAAUUUUGUUUUUUUGUGCCAUCGAUUGAGUUUGUAUAAGUGAAGAUAUGUUGAUCUUCUGACAACCUUUUUUUUUUCGAAAUUAUAAUAAUUACUAGUUCGCUAUCUAAAUUCAUGGGAAAUUGAAAAUUGAUUCCCACGAAACUGUAUUCUUCUUCUACAUUACACUUCUCAGGUGUUCAUAGAAGUCCUCUUCCUACUGGUAAGCCGUAUCAUAUUCACUCUCCCUUGCAUUCUGAUUUUUACUUAUAAAUAAGUUAAUGUCUAAGAGCAGGGUUGAAUGAGCGUAAAAAAAGAGAUAUUUUCUAUGAAGUUUUAAAACAAAUUUUACCGAAUUACAUUGUAAUUGAUCAAAUUCCAGAACCAGCCAUUUUGUAUUCUGUUCUGUUAGGCUCUAGCGUAGCUAACCCUAUACGAACUGGCUUAGCACACUUUACAUUAGUGGUUGGGUCUUGAACAUAUAUAGUUUCUUAUGCUUUAAAUUAAUAUUAAGCAUUGUGUUACUUCUAUGAUUGAGACAGCUAAUAGAGGAUGGGGUUGGAUUUUGGAAAUAAGGGGCUCAGAUACAAGUCUAGAUCCUCUUUAGUUUGUGAACUAAAAUUUUUGUUUUGGUUUUGCCUAUCUCUUAAUCUCUUAAGCUAUUAAAAUUAUUCUAGAAUCCACCUAAAGUUUUUUAUUCAAAAAUAAGUGUUGGAGUCUUAAGAUAAUGGUAUCAAGUUUAUUUAUGUAAUUUGUUUUUGGUGACCUAUUGCGGAAAAUCUUUUUAGUAUUUACUUUCUUGGAUUUUUCAAAAAAUUGAUAUUAGAGUCAAUCUUCGAUUUAGUGACCGGUUUAGACGAGGAAGAUGACGUUGAUGAAUUUAUGGAUAUAGAAUUUAUUGUAUCAAAAGUCUUUCUAUCAGCUGAAUUCAUGCAUAAAUGUCACGUAGCAAAGUUGUAGGUGUUACAAUAGUGCAAGCUACUAGAACAUGUUAUGACAAUGGCUAGACAAGCUAGAGACAAUAAAAAUUAAGUUUUAUGGGUCACCAUUAAAUAUUCUUAGAUUGAAAAUGACUUUCGGUCUUGACUUGAGAGCCUUUUUCUUAGUUUACACCUCGGCUGUGCCAUUAACAAUUGAUAAUGCUGUCUAGCAAGCUAUAUUGUGAAGAUAAAUACUUCUCUCCAUAUUUGUCCAUUUUACAUAUUUCCUGGUGUCAAAAUAUUAUUUUUAUUGUAUUUUUAUAUUUCCUGGUGUCAAGUAUCAAUGAUAAGUUUUACCAAAAAAUAAUAAUCAAUAACUAUAGUUAUGUAUAUAAGGAUAAUAAUUAUUUGACCUCUACAACAGGAUCCUAGUAUGAAGUAGUUCUGUAUGUAAAUCUUGCACAGACAAGCCAAAAUAAUAUAGCAUUGAUCAACCUGUUAAUUAGAAGAAUCAAGUUAAAAGCAGCUUGAAAAAGAGCAGGUAUAUGUAAAUAAUAGAAUACGGGGCCAUCUUGCAGUUGAGAGCGUCAUCUUUCUCCUCAUUUUGGAAUCACUCAAAUCCAAAUUUUGUAGAUUGAGAUAAUAUCAAAAUUUAAAACUUGUUCUAGGUCGUGUUUGGUGUGCAAAUUCUAUCUUAGAAGAUCCAAUUUGAACCAAGCACGUGGUUUCCCAUCACUUCUAUACUUGAAAAUAUAAAUAUGCUACAUUAAAGAGUUUUAUUCCAUUGAAUAUUCUUUCAGAAAAUGAUUUCGCAUUGGAUGUUCCUUCUUUCUAAAUGUGAUCUUUAAAACAAUGUAGAAUUUAUAAAAAAAAAUUGCGUGUAAUGUUCCUUCUUUAACAAAGGGGUCUUUGAACAAUUUUAAAUUUUAUAAACAUUUACUAAUUCUUUUUCUGUCGAUCACCAGAGGCUUAGUAUUAGAAUUUCAAAAUUUAGAUGUGAAAGGACGAAAACUGCAAUGUGAAAAGUGAAAGUUGUUACGUGGAAGUAUAUAUGGCAAAACGAAAAGAAAAAUUGGAAAGAACAAACUCCGUGUGAGCAUCACUAAUUAAAGUUAAAGUUGGACUAAAUUAAAAGAACCAAUAAAAACAAAAGUAAGAUCACUAAUUAAAGUUAAAGUUAGACUAAAAAAAAGAACCAAUACAAACAAAAGUAAGAGAAAUAAAAGGCAACAACUUACAGGUACCUCUCCAAAUACUUGCAAGCUUAAUAAAAUAAUUAAUGAAAAUCUAAUAAUAAAAAAUGGAGGAAAUAGCCAACAUACCUGCAAUAUAUUACCAUGCAUUGUUACAUCUCUACCACAAAACAUGAAUAUCUAAUCUUAUUGGAAACGAUAUUAAUGGAUGAAAUGAUAAACAUCUCUUUUUAAACCUUAUACAUCAUUCACAUAAUUAUUUCAUGUAUCUUGUUUAACAUUUUCUAAUUUUAAUUUAUAUUUUCUUCUUCGUAAAUAUAAAGAUAUGUACACCAAUUAACAAAGUUCAUGUUGUUUACAACUUCCUUUAAAAACAAUGUUGUUUACAACUUAUUUUCUACAUUAAUUAUUAUCUUAAUCUUUUUUUUUCAAACAAAACUCAUACUCAAUUUUUCAUAUAAAAAUUAGUUCUAACAUUUAAUUUUAUUCUCAAUGUUAAGCAACCACAUUAAUAACACUUUCAAAUCAUCCACCGUAUUCUAACAAUGUCCAACUCCUAAAUUGUGACAGAUAUAAGUUUUCUAACUUAUAAAUAUUUUAAUUACUAAAUUAAAUUUUUGACAAAUAUUAAUUUUAAAAAUAUGUUAAUUUUAUACAUAUGCUUUCAACGAAUAUUUUAGAAUUAUGUAUUUUUUAAUUUAAUAUAAUAUUUUUUUAAAUAUUUCUAACAUCUUGAAAUUAUAUCAUAUACAAUUAUUAAUUUACAAAUAACUUUAUAAAUGAUAUAAUUUUGACAAAUAAAUUUUUUAUGUAUAAUUUCAAAAAAUAUUUUAUAAUUUAAUUUUUUUAUAGUUUAAGGUAAUAUUUAUAUUUUAAAUAUUUUUUCUCCGAAUUAUAGUUUAAGGUAAUUUAUUUUUCAAGGGUUAAUAUUAUUGUUAGAGUCUGUUUAGCAAGCACUAUGAGUCUGUUUCACAAGUCACUCCAGUAGCUUAUAAUUUUGUUUGACUAGCAUAUAAGUUGAUUUUAUCAAAAUAAGUUUGGGUAUCAAAACAAACUUAAUUUAAUAACUUUUAGCUUAUUUUCAGACGCUAUUUCAACUAGUAUUUUAGCUUAUAAGUUAUUAAUUUAUUUUUAUAUUUAUAUUUUAUUAUUUUACUUUGAAUUAUUUUUUAUCCUUUUUUAAAUAAAACAAAUUUAUUUAAUUAAAAUAUAAUUUUUUAGAAAAAGAAGGACACAAGUCAUAAAAAAUAAAAAAAACUACAACACUCCAUUGUUUUCAAAAGUCAUAAAUCCAUAUACAUGAAGAGGGUUAAACAAAUUCAUCAAGUCUCUAUCAUUCUUUUAUAGUAUCAAACUAAAAUUAUUUUCCUAUUUUUAUAGGAUAAUAAAUUAUUACUAUAAAAAAGAUUAUAAAUUAUUAAAAAUAAAUUCAUAUAUAUAUAAUUAUAACCAAAUAACUAAAAUAGUUUUCUUAUUAACAAAUCUUAUGGGAAAAAAAUUAAUUCAAUGAGCUACCUCACAAGCUAGUUCUGUCUGGCACACCCUAGCUAUUUCUUCCUUUGAAAUAUUUUUUGUUUGAAUUGUUUAGAUUUAAAUAUAUUUUUAAUUCUUACUAAAAAAAUUUAAUUUUGUCUUUUGUCCCUGUUAAAUUAUUGUUAACUUUUUGGUCCUUAAUAAAAAAAUUUAUUUUAUUUUUUGACUUUGGAUUUAUUUAGAUAGGGCUUUAAAAAUGAAAUAAAAUUAUUUUCAAAGUUAUUUAAGAAAAAACAAAACAAAAAUAUUAUUACAAACCAAAAAGUUAAUGGAAAUUUAUCAGGAAUUAAAGAACAAAAUUUUAAGAUUUAUGAACAACCAAAAAUAUAUUUAAACAGUUUAUAAAACAAAGAGAACAUGAAAAAUCAAUCAUUAUGCUAUUCUCCUUGAACAAGAGUUAUAAUUUCCAUCUAGUACUUCUUUAUUUGUGGAUAUUGAAAUUAUUCGAUGUAACGCCUUUAAAAUAAAUUUCAGAGAGCAACUCAGCCCAUACACUAGAUUGUGUUCUACCUUGACAGUUGAAAAAAAUGCAUUAAAAAGAAGGAUUUGCCGUGAAGGUUCAAGACAAUACAUGCAUGUUUAAUUUUAAAUGAUGAUGAUAUAAACACUAUAAGGUUAUUUGUUAUUUAUUUGAUAAGUUAACUGACUGAAUAUUUAAUUCCACUCCACUACUUGCUAAAACUGACCACCCUCAUCCGAUUCACCGAAGGUUUACAAAAUUCGCUCCGUCAUGUUAUUCCAUUUCUAGUUGGUAUUUUAAAGGGAAAAAAAUGGUUAAAUAAAGAUAUGAAGCAGAAAAAUCAAAUAAAUCAUGUUUGCAGAAAAAUGAGUUCCAAGUCAUGCGUGAGGGAUGGGCUGUUGAAGUCUUGAAGCUUAAUUUAGCCACAAACUUUGCAUAGUGUUUUUAAUUUGGGUAUAAAUAUUAGUGUUUGGUUCCUCAGUAUUUCAUGUAUAUUUUCCCUUAUAGUAAACAGUUUUGAGUAGAAUAUGGAAUCAUGGAUGUGGUGUUUCCUUCUCUGUUCCCAUUUGCUCAUCCUUUAUUUUUCACCCUCUCAUUCCUUAUGCCACCCCCAUGACAACUCUGCCUUGCUCCACUUCAAAAACUCCUUCACUAUUUAUGAAGAUCCUUAUUAUUCUUAUUAUUGUGAUCAUGGUUAUUCAAAGACGACAACAUGGGAAAAUGGGAGAGAUUGUUGCUCUUGGGCUGGAGUCACCUGCCACCCCAUCUCAGGUCACGUCACUGAGCUCGACCUCAGCUGCAGUGGCCUUCACGGCAAUAUCCAUCCAAACAGUACGCUUUUCCAUCUUUCUCAUCUUCACUCACUCAACCUUGCUUUCAAUCAUUUGUAUACAUCUCAUUUGUCAUCUCUCUUUGGUGGGUUUGUGAGCCUCACACAUCUCAACUUGUCUCAUUCUGAAUUUGAAGGGGAUAUUCCUUCCCAAAUCUCUCACCUUUCCAAAUUAGUCUCACUUGAUCUCUCGUACAAUUUGUUAAAGUGAAAGGAAGACACUUGGAAGAGUUUGCUAAAAAAAUGCAACAGUUUUAAAGGUGCUUCUUUUGGAUUUUACAGAUAUGUCUUCCAUUUCAAUCAGGACACUCAAUAUGUCUUCUUCUUUGGUAACUCUUGGUCUUCUAGCAAAUGGGCUAAGCGGAAAGUUGACAGAUGGCAUUCUUUGUUUACCAAAUCUUCAGUACCUAUAUCUUUCAUUUAAUGAGGACCUUCAUGGUCAGCAGCUUCCAGAAAUGAGUUGCAGCACAACUUCUCUUGGUUUCUUAGAUCUUUCAGGUUGUGGUUUCCAAGGGUCAAUCCCUCCCUCUUUCUCUAACCUCACACAUCUUACUUCCCUGGAUCUCUCAGCUAACAACCUCAAUGGUUCAGUCCCAUCCUCACUCUUAACCCUUCCACGGCUAACCUUUCUGAAUCUAAACAAUAACCAACUCAGUGGUCAAAUCCCAAAUAUUUUUCCUAAGUCAAACAACUUUCACGAAUUGCAUUUGAGUUAUAACAACAUAGAGGGUGAGAUCCCAUCAACACUUUCAAAUCUUCAACAUCUCAUUAUCUUGGAUCUGUCACUUUGUGAUUUCCAAGGUUCAAUCCCUCCCUCUUUCUCUAACCUCAUACUUCUUACUUCCCUGGAUCUCUCAUAUAACCACCUCAACGGUUCAGUCCCAUCCUCGCUCUUAACCCUUCCACGGCUAACUUUUCUAAAUCUCAAUGCUAAUUGUCUCAGUGGUCAAAUCCCAAAUGUCUUUCUUCAGUCAAACAACAUUCACGAAUUGGAUUUGAGUAAUAACAAAAUAGAGGGUGAGCUGCCAUCAACACUUUCAAAUCUUCAACGUCUCAUUCUCUUGGAUCUUUCACAUAAUAAAUUUAUUGGUCAAAUCCCAGAUGUGUUUGUCGGGCUAACCAAAUUGAAUAGUCUCAAUCUUUCGGAUAACAAUUUAGGAGGCCCAAUCCCAUCUUCAUUAUUUGGCUUAACACAAUUUUCUUACUUGGAUUGUUCUAAUAAUAAAUUGGAGGGCCCCCUGCCGAACAAAAUAAGAGGGUUUUCAAAUCUAACAUCGUUAAGGUUAUAUGGCAACUUCCUGAAUGGAACAAUUCCUUCUUGGUGUUUAUCUUUGCCAUCUUUGGUGGAUUUAUAUCUAUCAGAAAACCAAUUCUCAGGGCAUAUUAGUGUAAUCUCAUCAUAUUCAUUGGUGAGAUUAUCUUUAUCCCACAACAAGUUACAAGGCAAUAUUCCAGAUACAAUUUUCAGCCUUGUAAACCUUACUGACUUAGAUCUAUCAUCAAACAAUUUAAGCGGAUCUGUCAACUUUCCACUUUUCUCAAAGCUUCAAAAUUUGGAAAGACUUAAUCUUUCACAUAAUAAUCAGUUAUCACUAAAUUUCAAAUCCAAUGUCAAUUAUAGUUUUUCCAGUUUAUGGAGUUUGGACUUAUCUUCUACGGGUUUAACUGAAUUUCCAAAAUUAUCAGGAAAAGUCCCAAUUUUGAAAUUACUCCAUUUGUCCAAUAAUACACUUAAAGGUAGAGUACCAAAUUGGUUGCACGACACGAACUCAUCGUUAUAUUUAUUGGACCUCUCUCAUAACCUAUUGACGCAAUCAUUGGACCAAUUCUCAUGGAACCAACACCUCGUUUACCUUGAUCUUAGUUUUAACUCAAUCACUGCUGGCUCUUCCUCAAUUUGCAAUGCAACUGCAAUUGAGGUUCUCAACUUAUCUCACAACAAGUUGACAGGAACCAUUCCACAAUGCCUUAUUAACUCAUCAACCCUGGAAGUUUUGGAUCUGCAACUGAACAAGCUUCAUGGCCCUUUGCCAAGUACCUUUGCAAAGAACUGUCAGCUCAGAACUCUAGAUCUCAAUGGCAACCAAUUAUUAGAAGGUUUUCUGCCAGAAUCUUUGUCCAAUUGCAUUAAUCUGGAGGUUUUAAAUCUUGGAAACAAUCAAAUAAAGGAUGUGUUUCCCCAUUGGCUUCAAACUCUACCAGAAUUGAAAGUAUUGGUUUUGAGAGCCAACAAGUUGUACGGUCCCAUUGAGGGUUCAAAGACCAAGCAUGGAUUCCCCAGUUUAGUUAUUUUUGAUGUCUCUUCCAACAACUUCAGCGGCUCAAUACCAAAUGCCUACAUAAAAAAAUUUGAAGCCAUGAAGAACGUUGUUCUAUAUCCCGAUUGGCAAUACAUGGAAAUUUCUAUUUCUUUUGCAGAAACCAACUACCAUGAUUCUGUGACUAUAACAACAAAAGCAAUUACUAUGACAAUGGACAGAAUUCGAAAUGACUUUGUAAGCAUUGAUUUAUCCAAAAACAGAUUUGAAGGAGGGAUUCCAAAUGCCAUUGGAGAGCUUCAUUCACUCAGAGGACUCAACCUUUCCCAUAACAGGCUUAUUGGUCCUAUUCCCCAGUCCAUGGGAAAUUUGAGAUACUUAGAAUCAUUGGAUCUCUCCUCAAAUAUGCUCAUUGGUGGGAUACCUACAGAAUUAAGCAAUUUGAACUUUCUUGAAGUCCUAAAUCUUUCCAAUAACCAUCUUGUGGGAGAAAUACCUCGAGGACAACAGUUCAAUACUUUUCCCAAUGAUUCCUACAAGGGAAACUCUGGGUUAUGUGGACUCCCACUGACAAUCAAAUGCAGCAAGGACCCUGAACAACAUUCUCCACCUUCAACUACCUUCAGGAGAGAACCAGGAUUUGGAUUUGGUUGGAAACCAGUGGCUAUAGGAUAUGGAUGUGGAGUGGUCUUUGGAGUGGGAAUGGGAUGUUGUGUAUUGUUAAUAGGAAAGCCUCAAUGGCUUGUGAGAAUGGUCGGAGGUAAACUCAAUAAAAAGGUGAAAAGGAAGACAAGGAUGAGAUCUAAUGAAAAUGGUAGCAGAAUGAAUUAGUUGAUAUAUGGCAUGACUGGAGAAUGUCUUGUUCCAUACCUGCCAUCUUUGAAAACAAAACUUAAGGGCAAGAACUUUAUCACACUGCAUUGCAUGGGAGAUCUGGUUCAAAGUUUUGCUGUAAUAUGAAUGUGUUAUACUUUUGCUUUUUGUGUUCUUUUUUUGUUUGUUAUGUGUAGAAGAGUGCAUGUACUUCAUUUGCCUUGAGCUUGCAGUUUUGAUUUAUUUAAUACGUAUAACUGUAGCAUUAAUUGGUUGUAUAAUAAUAGAUGUUGUAUAUUUUUAAAAAUGAUAUGUAUUGGCCAAUGCUAAAAUAUUUUGUAUCUUAACAGUAUGCAGUUGUCUCAUUUCAUUGAAGGAGCUCAAUUCACGGUUUUAGCUUGUAUUGUAGUCUAUUUACUUAAUUUGCUAAAUUAUCAAACUGUUAUUCAAAAUAAAAUAAGCAUUAGUGACUUUUAUAAUAAUUACCUUAAUGAUUAAAUAUAUUUUUAUUUUCAAUAAAUAGUUGAUUUUUUUGUUUAUUUCCCAAUAAAAAAAAUUAUUUUGAGUACCUUAUAAAAUAAUAAAUUUUUUUGUUUCCCAGAUAUUUUUUUUGUAAUCCCUAAUAAAUUAGCACAUUUUUGUUUACUCCCUCUUAAAUUAACGAAUUUUGUUUUAAUCCUGAUUAAUAAUAAAUAAAAAAAAUUAUUAAGAAAUAAAUAAAUACACAAUUUGUGAAUUUAUCAUGGACUAAGAAAAGUAUCAAGGAUCAAAAUAAAAUGAUUUUUUUAUUUGAAACUCAACGGAAAGUAAAAUUUUAUUAAAAAUUAAAUAUUUAUUAGUUAUUAAAAUUAUAGUUAAAACUUAUCUUAAAGAUUAAAUAUAUUAUAAUUUUUAUUUGGUUCACAACAUAUAAAUAUUUACCAUUGUUAAAAUAUACUAUAAUUUCUCUUAAAUUAUUUUAAUGAAAAUAAAUAGUAAAAUAGUAGGAACUUAAUCUAAGUUACGUUUAGUAAAUAUUGGGUAAAAUUGGUAAGAGUGUGAGAAACUUAAUUAUUUAUCACUACCAAAUAUGUGGAUCAACUAAUGUGGGUUGUUGAGCCAGAGACUCAUGAGAAAAAAUAUUGUCUCAUAGUGAGAAGAAUAAAUCAUAAAAAAUAGAAAAGAUAAUAAAUUUGUUCAAUAUGAUUUAGACCUUCAUCCUUGUAUUAACAAUCUGAUACAUUUUAAGGACAAUUUAGACAAACUUACAAACAUUCUCUUCUAACGAUUCCCCUAUCUUAGUUAGGGUAGUGAUAUUUUCUUCACACUAGAUGUGGUGAUUCUUUUUAUCUCAAAAAAUUUCUAUUUACAGAUCUAACUAAUCUUAAAUGAAUUCAAAUCCAUAAUUUACAAAUAAUAUAUUUAAUUCUAAAUGGUAUCCUAAAAAUAAGAUAAUAUGUUUUUAAAAAUCUAAACAAUAUCCUAUAAAUUUGAUAUUCAUUGAUUGGACCAUCAUUAAUUCCUACAUACCCAACCUCUAUAUAAGUUUUUAUGACAAGUUAGACAAACUUACAAAUAUUUCCUCUACAUGACUCAAUCUCUCUUAGGGUGUUGACCUAGGCUGAGUGAUUAUUCUCAUCUCAUAAAUCUUAUUUUAUAGACAUAACAUCCUAAUCUUAAAUAAGAAAACAAAUAUCUAAGGGUGUGUUAGGUUUGCAUUUUUAUUUUUUAUUUUCAUUUCCUGUUUUUAUUUUCUGAAAACUGUUUUCAUUUUUCAAAUAUUAGAAUUCUAAAAACAUGUUUGGUUUGAUUUUUUGUUUUAUGUUCUCAGGAAAUAAAAACACUGAAAAUUUAUGAUAUAUUAACUUCUUGUUUUUUUUUGUAUUUUUAGAUUUGCUUAAAAUUACAUUCUUUGCCAUUACGUUUUUAUUUUAUCCAAAAUAAGGGUCCUGUUUUAACUGAAAACGAGAUGUUAUUGUUUUCAUUUUCUGGUUGUUUCCUAUUUUCAUUUUCACUCAAAAUGUUUUUAAAAAUCGAAUCAAACACAUCUUCAUCAUUAUUUUCUGUUUUCAGUGAAAAUGAAAACAAAAAACAACCAAAUCAAACACCUCCUAAUUUAUUAAUAAUAUAUUUAAUUUUAACAACAUUCUAAAAAUAAGAUAAUAUUUUGGUUAAGAAAACAAUAUCUGACAAAUUUGAGAAUACAAAUUUAAAUUAUUUCCUAAUAAAGUCAUCGAUAUGUAGUUAAAUACUUAGAAAAAGAGUUUCAUCAUCCAUAAUAAUCAUAUUGACUCAAACAAGAUUAUCUUCAAUCAAAUAUACCUAUCUACGGAAGAAAGACCUAUGUAAGAUAAAUCUAACAUGAAGCCAAGUUGGACUUAUGUAGAUCAAUUAACCAACUAAUCCCUAUGCCCACUCAUCACCUAAGCUCAACCAAACUCGCUUAAGCCCCAACCCUGCAUCGCUUAAGCUCUUAGCCAACACCACUUAAGCUACAUCAAAAAACAUGUUAGUUUUUGUGCCCAUUCUAGCUUAAGCGCUACCCAACACCACUUAAGCUACUUCAAACUAAUUUACUCAAAUUAAAAAAAUAAUAAUGAUUCUACUAUUUAAUCACUACACAUUAAAUACCUAAUUUAUUAUCCGCUUAUCAAGCAACUGGUCCAUUUAUCUUUUUUAUUUGUUUAUUACAUGUAAUUUUUAUUUCUUUUAUUUUUUAAAAUCUAAAAUUUUGAUCUCUAUUUUAAAAUAAAGAUAUUUAGUCUAUUAUUUUUUACAAUCUAAAAUUUUAGUUUUCUAAUUUAAAAUAGAAAUAUUAGUCUUUUAUAUUUAUAAAAUAUGUAAUUUUAGUUAUCCCAACUAAAAGCAUUGUCUGCUAAGAGCUUAAUUUUAAUUAUGAUACAGAUUAAAUAAAUUAUCUUGUAUCACAUUAUUAAAUUUGAAUCACAUUAAGUUAGCUUCUUAUUAAUUAACGCUAAAUGAUUAUGUGGAUAUAGGCAUACGGAUGAUUAAAAUGAUGAAUUUUAUAAAAUUAAGUAAUUAUAUGUUUUUAUUUUAAAAUAGAAGUAUUACAAUUGUAAAAUAUAAAAAUUAAGAAGAUUAAAUAUUUUUUAAAAUAUAGAUAUUAAAAUUAAAUAUUUUGAAAAUAGGAAAAAAAAUAUAUUUAAGUUUUCUUUUACCGGAGGUCCAUAUGUCCAGUACUUAGAAAUCUCGUCAUGAUAAAAAUGCGUCACUAGAGCAUAAUAUAAUAGCAUGAAGAACGUCAUUAUAAUUACAUUUAAGCCAUGAAGAACGUUGUUAUAUAUGCCAAUCCGCAAUACAUGGAAACUUCUGUUAUUGUUAGUGACACCAACAACAUUGAUCAUGAAACCAACUACGCUGAUUCUGUGACUGUAACAACAAAAGCAAUUACUAUAUGAAAAUGGAUAAAAUUUGAGAUGACUUUGUAAGCAUUGAUUUAUCGCACAACAAAUUUGAAGGAGAGAUUCCAAAUGCCAUUGGAGAGCUUCAUUCACUCAGAGGGCUAAACCUUUCCCAUAGCAGGCUUAUUGGUCCUAUUCCCCCAUCCAUGUGAAAUUUGACAAAUUUAGAAUCAUUGGAUCUCUCCUCAAGUAUGCUCACUGGCGGGAUACCUAGAGAAUUAAGCAAUUUGGACUUUCUUGAAGUCCUAAAUCUUUCCAAUAACCAUCAUGUGGGAGAAAUACCUCAAGGAAAACAGUUCAGCAGUACUUUUUCCAAUGACUCCUAUGAUAGAAACUUGGGGUUAUGUGGACUCCCAUUGACAGCAGAAUGAAGCAAGGACCUUGAACAACAUUCUCCACCUUCACUAACCUUUGGGGGAGAACAGGGAUUUGGAUUUGGUAGAAAGCAGUGGCUAUAAUGCGGAAUGGUCUUUGGAAGGGGAAUGGGAUGUUGUGUAUUGUUAAUGGGAAAGCCUCAAUGGCUUGUGAGAAUGGUUGGAGGUCAACUCAAUAAAAAGGUGAAAUGGAAGACAAGGAUGAGAUCUAAUGAAAAUGGUAGCAGAACGAAUUAGUUGACAUGUGGCAUGACUGUAGAAUGUCUUCUUGCUCACCUUCCCGUUGAAAUUCAAUUCUGUCUUGUUGGAAAACAAAACUUAAGGGCAAGAACCUUAUCACACUGCAUUGCAUAUGCAUGGGACAUCUGAUUCAAAGUUUAGUUGUAAUUGUAAUAUGGUGUUGUACUUUUUUUUCUUUGUGUUCGAUAGAUGAGUGUGAUAUACUUUUUUUUUUACUUCCAUUGCCCCAGAAACUCGGGUCUGAAUCAUCCAUAAGUUUGAUAAUUUUUCUGUUCAUUAAUACGCUUAGAUUGUUUUAUUUUUUUUAACUUUUUUAUAUUGGUGAAUAGUAUCAAGUUAAGUAGUGAAUAAUGUGUUGACAAUCAACAAUCAUUUCACUAAUAUGCUGCAUAUUACAAAAUUGUAGCAGUCAUUAAUACCAAUUUGCAUUAUCGACGCUAUUUUGUUCCCAUUGCUGUUGUGGAAGUACUUUUGCUCCAGACAAGGAAUGGAAAUUGACCAGGAAUUUUGUUUUUUUGUGCCAUCGAUUGAGUUUGUAUAAGUGAAGAUAUGUUGAUCUUCUGACCACCUUUUUUUUCGAAAUUAUAAUAAUUACUAGUUCGCUAUCUAAAUUCAUGGGAAAUUGAAAAUUGAUUCCCACGAAACUGUAUUCUUGUUCUACAUUACACUUCUCAGGUGUUCUUAGAAGUCCUCUUCCUACUGGUAAGCCAUAUCAUAUUCACUCUCCCUUGAAUUCUGAUUUUUACUUAUAAAUAAGUUAAUGUCUAAGAGCAGGGUUGAAUGAGCGUAAAAAUUAGUUUGUAUGCUUUAAAUUAAUAUUAAGCAUUGUGUUACUUCUAUGAUUGAGACAGCUAAUAGAGGAUGGGGUUGGAUUUUUGAAAUAAGGGGCGCAGAUACAAGUCUAGAUCCUCUUUAGUUUGUGAACUAAAAUUUUUGUUUUGGUUUUGCCUAUCUCUUAAGCUAUUAAAAUUAUUCUAGAAUCCACCUAAAGUUUUUUAUUCAAAAAUAAGUGUUGGAGUCUUAAGAUAAUGAUAUCAUUAAGAUAAUGAUAUCAAGUUUAUUUAUGUAAUUUGUUUUUGGUGACUUAUUGCAGAAAAUCUUCUUGAUAUUUACUUUCUUGGAUUUUUCAAAAAAUUGAUAUUAGAGUCAAUCUUCGACAUAGUGACCGGUUUAGACAAGGAAGAUGACGUCGAUGAAUUUAUGGAUAUAAAGUUUAUUGUAUCAAAAGUCUUUCUGUCACCUGAAUUCAUGCAUAAAUGUCACGUAACAGAGUUGUAGGUGUUAUGUACAAUAAUGCAAGAUACUAAAACAUGUUAUGACAAUGGCUAGAAGAGCUAGAGACACUAAAAAUUAAGUUUCAUGAGUCACUAUUAAAUAUUCUUAGAUUGAAAAUGACUUUCGGUCUUGACUUGAGAGCCUUUUUCUUAGUUUACACCUGGCUGUGCCAUUAACAAUUGAUAAUGCUGUCUAGCAAGCUAUAUUGUGAAGAUAAAUACUUCUCUUCAUAUUUGUCCAUUUUACAUAUUUCCUGGUGUCAAAAUAUUAUUUUUAUUGUAUUUUUAUAUCCUUUAAAAUAAAUUUGCUUUUGGAGUUUUCUCUUGGACGAGAUACCAUUCAAAGAAUUUCACAUAAUGUAAAUGCACGGGGUUCUUUUUUAAUUUUGAUUUUGUGGCAUUUAUCUCUAUAUUUGGUUGAUAUAUUUGAAACUUGAUAGCGCGAUUAGCUGAUGUAUCAGUCAACGGACCCUAGUAUGGAAAAAGAAUACGGUGAAGACAGAAUUUUUCCACAAACUAAUGUAUCAGCGUGAGUUUCCUUUAAUUUUCUUUUGAUUUAAAUAUUUUUGUGGACGUGUUUUAAUUUUCAUUUUUUGAUGUGAUUGGCGAGCUUAAUUUUCUAACCCAUAUUUUAAGGGUUGGCAGACUUGGAAAUCAACGCUUGGAUUUAAUUGAACUGGCUGUUUAUACAUGUUUUGUUUUUAGAAUCAUAUCACAUAUAUGUAGUCUGUUGGUGAAAGUAUAUAGUGGCAGCUUAUGUUUUGGGCAGAAAUUGUUUCCUCAAACUUUCAUGUGAUAAGACAAAUUAACUUCUGAAUUUUCACAAUAAUAUUCUUCUAUGCUAUCAUAAGAAGAAGAAAAAACCACCAAUAACUUGUAGAUGCAUGUUCUCUUAAACAGGUGGUAUUCUUCUAGACCCAAAAAAAAAGGUGGUAUUCUCUGUGUUCAAUUAUAUCUUUUGGCUGGGAUCUUCCUUUUUCAUAUGUUGGGGUUUAAAAUAUUUAAUAGGGAUUAAUUAACAGGAACAUAUCCAGAAAAUAAUAACAAGCUUAAACAUACAAAAUUAUGUUAAUUAAUAAAUUUCAUCACUAUAUAUUUUAUAUAAAAAAAUUAAUUAACCUGUAUAUAUAAUUUUUUAAAGAAAAAUAUGAGAGGGAAACCAUUCUUGUUUCAUUUGAUACUGCCAUGUUAAUCAAUCAUGUCUAAUAAAUAUUUUCUCCGAUUUCUAUUAUAAAAAAAUUAUUUCAUAUUUAUUAAAAAAUUAAUUACUUUUAUUAAAUUGUAUUAAUAUUAAAAUAUUUUUUUUCUAAAUUAUUCUUCACUAAAAGUUGAUAUGAAGCAUAAAAAUAUCCAGCCUUAUAUAUAUUGUAGGCCAACACACAUUUCAUUUGCUUUUCUUUAUGAAAAAAGUUAAAUUAAUAGAGGAUGGGAUUGCAUUUUGGAAAUAAAGGGCUCACAUACAAGUACCUAGGUACAGUUUAGUUUGUGGCCUUAAACUCUGUUUUGGUUUUACCUUUCCUCUUGUGCUAUUAAAAUUCUUCUAGCAUCCGUUCACAAGUUUUUUAUUCAAAAGUAUUUGACGUACUGUUAGUUUAGUUGUUGAGAGUCUUUUUGUACUCCAGAAUUAACUAUGCCAUUGACAAUGGAUAAUUCUGUCAAGCAUGCUAUAUUGUUAAGAAAAAUACUUCUCUCCUAGUUUGUUCAAUUUUACAAAUAUACGUAUAUCAAAUUUUGAUGGUGGUCUCAUUUUUUUGCCUCUAUUCCUUAUCUGCUUCCCUCACUUGGAAAAGUAAAAUGGUAUCAACAUAUUUUUUUUAUUGUAUUUUUAUAUUCUUUUGAAAUAAAUUUACUUUAGAGGAGUGUUUGGACCAGAUACCAUACAAACCAAUUAAAAAAUUUAAAUGCACGGUGUCUUUUUUAAUUUUUAUUUUGUGGCAUUUUUCCUCUAUAUUUGAUUGGUAUUUUUGAAACAUGAUUGCGAUUAGCUGAUGUAUAAAGUCAACGAACCCUAGUGUGGAAAAAUAAUACGGUGAAGACAGUUUUUCAACAACUAAUUUUAUCAGCCAGAGUUUCCUUUAAUCUUCUUUUGAUGUGAUUAGAGUGUCUAAUUUUCUAACCCAUAUUUUAAAGGUUGGAAGACUCGGAAAACAACUGUUUGGUUCAACUAGGAUUGAUUAUAUAUAUAAAACUCUGUGAAUUGAAUAAUAGUUGGGGGCGGGACCUAGGAUUUAUCUAGACAUAGCUUUCCAACUCUUAACAGCUAAAACUUCUAGACACAACCCCAAUUAGAAGAUCAACAGUACAUACACCUCAACUCAUGAAAAAAACCUCUAUAUUCCAUAGAUAAACUUAAAUUUCUCAAUUUAGGAUAUCUACAGUCCUAUACAACUGAUCAAGCGUACUCUCUAUCAAUUAAUGGAAUGUUGAGUAAUUUGAUCAAAUGAAGUUUCCAAUACAGGGUACCUCUUGCCCUUCAGUUUAGAGGUCUAAGCCAAUCACUUUAGGUAGGAUUUAAUCAAACCAUGACUUAAUUCAAUUAUAUUUUAAUGGAUUAAUUUGGGUCAACGGACGUAAUAAUUUAAUUUUUUUUUCUUUUUUAAAACCUAAUAUUUUGUAGAAAUUAAAUUUUUUAUUAAAUAAAUUAAAUAUAAUUAUUUCUUAUUAUAUUUUAUUAAAAAGAAAUUUUUGUGAUGUGACCGCAUCUUACUCCGCUAACUCCUAUUUAUCCAAAGGAAUUGGGAAAUUAAGUGUAUCAUAUCACAAGCUCUUUUUAAGGUUUAGCUUUAUUGGAAGAUCUUAUAAAUAGGAGAAAAAGUAAACUAUGCUGGAAAAAAAUGUUAAGCAAUGAAGUAGACAUUAAAGAAAAACAAAAAGAAAUAUUGAAUAGAAUUGUAUUGUUUAUAAUUUUUUACGUUAUCUUACUGUUUCUACUUUCUGCAAUACUUUUAUUUUAAUUUUUUAUUUAAUGUCUAAGAGUACCCGUAGUUGACAAGACACUUCUUGUAAACAAGAAGUCAUAUAAUAGAUAACUAGAAUAAGUUGAAUUUGGAUAAUAAUUUGAGUAUUCUCUGUCAUUGUGAGAGUUGUUCUUCUUUAAUAACUUUGAUUUUAUUAACAUAUUGCGAUUAUGAUCAAAUUCUACUUGUUCACUUUGCAUGAAUUUAACAUGAUCCUAUAAAUCGAUUCGUAUUAUUGUUUAUCAGACAAUAUAAUUAAUUGUUAGUACAGUGACCUGUGAGCACAUCUAUUUGUAUACAUAUGGUAUAGAUAAACUAUUGGUUUUUUCAAUUUGAGAACAAAUCUCCUAAUAUAAUUUUUGUUCAUUUCUAAUAUUUUACAAAAAUAUUGAUGUAACCGUAUUGUCAUCUCUAUUUUAAAUUUGGCAAUAACACAUCAAACUAAAUUAAAUAAAAUCGAAUUUCAAAUUUGGGAAUAACACAUUAUCUAAUAAUGACCUCCAAAUCAAUUUCGAUGACAAUGGUGUAACAACCUUAAUUAAUAACUUCUUUGACAUAUCUGCGUUCCUUCUUUGCAUAAAUUAACUUCCAAGUCAAUGCAAAACGUUUUGCAUGGGGUAGAAAAUGGGAAACUUUUUGGGAUACAAAUACCAAUUAUAUAUGUAAGUUCUAAAAGAUAGAAACUAUAUAACUCUAUUACUAUAAUAAAGAUCCAUUCUUUUUUAAUUGACAAAUUAUUUAGUUUAUUAAUUUUAUUUAUUCAAAUUAAUUUAUUCAAUGCUAUUUAAUUUCAGUCAACAAAUUGCUAUUUAAUUUAUUCAUCAAUACUCACUCACUUGCUAAAACUUAUUAUCCGUCUUCACUGAAGUCUAAAGGUUUACAAAUUAGAAAAUGCAUUUUAAAGAGAAAAAUUAAAACGAUAAAAUAGAUAUAUGAAGUAGAAAAAUCAAAUAAAUCAUGUUUGCAAAGAGUUCCUAGAGAUAAUAUAAUGAAAGGGUUGAGAAAUGAAUGUUGAUUUGCAUGAGGGAUGGGUUGUUGUAGUGUAUACUCCUUGCGUGUUAACAAAAUUAAUUUUAAAUGUAAUUGAUUUUGUAAAAUUGAUUUUGAAGUAAUUAAUGUUUGUAUGUUUUAUUAUAAAAUUAAAUUAACAAUAAAAUUUGUUAUAAAAUUUUAGAUUCAAUACAGAAAUUGUUUAAAACAUAUAAAAAUAUAUUUAAAAUUAAUUAUAGAUUCAAAAUCAAUUUUUCAUCGUGAAUCAAACAAUAAAAAGUCUCAAAAUGGUUGAUGAAGGAUAAUUUUUUUAAAAAAUUUAUCAUUUGGAGAUAAAAUUUAAGUUGAUAUUCCAAAAGGAAUAAGUCUUAAUAAAUAAUGCAACUUCUAAAUUAAAAAUAGUGAAAUUUGUUAUAACUUUUUUUUAUUUUUUACAUUAAAGUCAUAAGAAAUUUUAUGGACUUCAUUUUUAUUUUUUAAAUACGUCUAAAAUUUAAUUCUCAUAGACAUUAAAGUCAUAAUUUUUUUUAUUGAAUUCGUAAAUUAUUUUAUGACUUUAAUUUAUUUUGCAUCUGAUAUAUUUUUUAAAAUUAUAAAUAAUUUUUAUUUUGGUUAUUUAAUAAAUUAAUGAUUUUAGUUUUAUUUAAUAUUUUGGUUAUUUUGCUAAAACCACCCUCAUCCGAUUCACCAAAGGUUUACAAAAUUCGCUCCGUCAUGUUGUUUCAUUGCUAGUUGGUAUUUUAAAGGGAAAACAUGGUUAAACAAAGAUAUGAAGUAGAAAAAUAAAAUAAAUCAUGUUUGCAGAAAAAAUGAGUUCCAAGUCAAGUCAAUUUAAAUAGCAAUUGCUGGGACAACUUUGAUAGCGUGUAAAAGGAUCAUAAGAUUUAUGGUCAAUUUGCGUGAGGUUUGGGCUGUUGAAGACUUGAAGCUUAAUUUAGCCACAAAUUUUGCAUAUCAUCUUUUAAAUUUGGCUAUAAAUAUUAAUGUUUGGUUGCUCAGUAUUAAUUUCAUGUAUAUUUGAGUAGAAAAUGGAAUCAUGGAUGUGGUGUUUCCUUCUCUGUUCCCAUUUGCUCAUCCUUUAUUUUUCACCCUCUCAUUCCUUAUGCCACCCCCAUGACACCUCUGCCUUGCUCCACUUCAAAAACUCCUUCACUAUUUAUGAAGAUCCUUAUUAUUCUUAUUAUUGUGAUCAUGGUUAUUCAAAGACGACAACAUGGGAAAAUGGGACAGAUUGUUGCUCUUGGGCUGGAGUCAGCUGCAACCCCAUCUCAGGUCACGUCACUGAGCUCGACCUCAGCUGCAGUCGCCUUUACGGCAAUAUCCAUCCAAACAGUACGCUUUUCCAUCUUUCUCAUCUUCACUCACUCAACCUUGCUUUCAAUGAUUUUAAUUAUUCUCAUUUGUCAUCUCUCUUUGGUGGGUUUGUGAGCCUCACUCAUCUCAACUUGUCUAAUUCUCACUUUGAAGGGGAUAUUCCUUCCCAAAUCUCUCACCUUUCCAAAUUAGUCUCACUUGAUCUCUCUGGUAAUAAUUUGUUAAAGUGGAAGGAAGACACUUGGAAGAGAUUGCUCCAAAAUGCAACAGUUUUAAGGGUGCUUGUUUUGGAUCAAACAGAUAUGUCUUCCAUUUCAAUCAGGACACUCAAUAUGUCUUCCUCUUUGGUUACUCUUAGUCUAGGACUGACUUGGCUAAGAGGAAACUUGACAGAUGGCAUUCUCUGUUUACCAAAUCUUCAGCACUUGGAUCUUUCACUUAAUCGGGCCCUUGAAGGUAAGCUUCCAGAAGUGAGUUGCAGAACAACUUCUCUUGAUUUCUUAGAUCUUUCACUUUGUGGUUUCCAAGGGUCAAUCCCUCCCUCUUUCUCCAACCUCAUACAUCUCACUUCCCUGGACCUCUCAGGUAACAACCUCAACGGUUCAAUCCCUCCCUCUUUCUCCAACCUCAUACAUCUUACUUCCUUGGAUCUCUCAUAUAACAACCUCAACGGUUCAAUCCCAUCCUCACUCUUAACCCUUCCAUGGCUAAACUUUCUGUAUCUAAACUAUAACCAACUCAGUGGUCAAAUCCCAGAUGCCUUUCCUCAGUCAAACAGCUUUCACGAAUUGCAUUUGAGUGAUAACAAAAUAGAGGGUGAGCUGCCUUCAACACUUUCAAAUCUUCAACAUCUCAUUCACUUGGAUCUUUCACAUAAUAAAUUGGAGGGCCCUCUGCCUAACAAUAUAACAGGGUUUUCAAACCUAACAUCGUUAUGGUUAUCUGGAAACUUACUGAAUGGGACAAUUCCUUCUUGGUGUUUAUCUUUGCCAUCUUUGGUGGAUUUAGAUCUAUCAGGCAACCAACUCUCUGGGCAUAUUAGUGCAAUCUCAUCAUAUUCCUUGGAGACAUUGUUUUUAUCCCACAACAAGUUACAAGGCAAUAUUCCAGAAUCAAUUUUUAGCCUUCUAAACCUUACUCACUUAGAUCUAUCAUCAAACAAUUUAAGUGGAUCUGUCAAAUUUCAUCGUUUCUCCAAGCUUCAAAAUUUGGAAAAACUUCACCUUUCAUGGAAUGAUCAGUUAUCACUAAAUUUCGAAUCCAAUGUCAAUUAUAGUUUCUCUAAUUUAAAGUUGUUGAACUUAUCUUCUAUGGUUUUAACUGAAUUUCCAAAAUUAUCGGGAAAAGUCCCAAUUUUAGAAUCACUCUAUUUGUCCAAUAACAAACUUAAAGGUAGAGUGCCACAUUGGUUGCAUGAAGUAUCGUUAUCUGAAUUGAACCUUUCUCAUAACCUAUUGACGCAAUCAUUGGACCAAUUCUCAUGGAACCAACAACUCGGUUACCUUGAUCUUAGUUUUAACUCAAUCACUGGUGACUUCUCUUCCUCAAUUUGCAAUGCAAGUGCAAUUGAGAUUCUCAACUUGUCUCACAACAAGUUGACAGGAACCAUUCCACAAUGCCUUGCAAACUCAUCAUCCCUUCUAGUUUUGGAUCUACAACUGAACAAGCUUCAUGGCACUUUGCCAAGUAUCUUUUCAAAGGACUGUCGGCUCAGAACUCUGGAUCUCAAUGGCAACCAACUAUUAGAAGGUCUUUUGCCAGAAUCUUUGUCCAAUUGCAUUGAUCUGGAGGUUUUAGAUCUUGGAAACAAUCAAAUAAAGGAUGUGUUUCCCCAUUGGCUUCAAACUCUACCAGAAUUGAAAGUAUUGGUUUUGCGAGCCAACAAGUUGUACGGUCCCAUUGUCGGUUUAAAGAUCAAGCAUGGAUUCCCCCGUUUAGUCAUCUUUGAUGUCUCUUUCAACAACUUCAGCGGCCCAAUACCAAAAGCCUACAUACAAAAAUUUGAAGCGAUGAAGAACGUUGUUAUAGAUACCGAUCUGCAGUACAUGGAAAUUUCUAUUGGAGCUAAAAAGAUGUACAGUGAUUCUGUGACUAUAACAACAAAAGCAAUUACUAUGACAAUGGACAAAAUUCCAAAAGGCUUUGUCAGCAUUGAUUUAUCAAAAAACGGAUUUGAAGGAGAGAUUCCAAAUGCCAUUGGAGAGCUUCAUGCCCUCAGAGGGCUCAACCUUUCCCAUAACAGAAUUAUUGGUCCUAUUCCCCAAUCCAUGGGAAAUUUGACAAACUUAGAAUCAUUGGAUCUCUCCUCAAAUAUGCUCACUGGUGGGAUACCUACGGAAUUAAGCAAUUUGAACUUCCUUGAAGUCCUAAAUCUUUCCAAUAACCAUCUUGCGGGAGAAAUACCUCGAGGACAACAGUUCAGUACUUUUACCAAUGAUUCCUAUGAGGGAAACUCAGGGUUAUGUGGACUCCCACUGACAAUCAAAUGCAGCAAGGACCCUGAACAACAUUCUCCAACUUCAACUACCUUGAGGAGAGAAGGAGGAUUUGGAUUUGGUUGGAAACCAGUGGCUAUAGGAUAUGGAUGUGGAAUGGUCUUUGGAGUGGGAAUGGGAUGUUGUGUAUUGUUAAUAGGAAAGCCUCAAUGGCUUGUGAGAAUGGUCGGAGGUAAACCCAAUAAAAAGGUGAAAAGGAAGACAAGGAUGAGAUCUAAUGAAAAUGGUAGCAGAAUGAAUUAGUUGAUAUAUGGCAUGACUGGAGAAUGUCUUGUUACAUACCUGCCAUCUUUGAAAACAAAACUUAAGGGCAAGAACUUUAUCACACUGCAUUGCAUGGGAGAUCUGGUUCAAAGUUUUGCUGUAAUAUGAAUGUGUUAUACUCUUGCUUUUGUCGUAUAACUGUGGCAUUAAUUGGUUGUAUAAUAAUAGAUGUUGUAUAUUUUUAAAAAUGGUAUGUAUUGGCCAAUGCUAAAAUAUUUUGUAUCUUAAUUCAAGGAGCUGAAUUCACGGUUUUAGCUUCCAUUGUAGUCUAUUUAAUUAAUUUUCUAAGUAUUUAACCACCGUGAAAUGGCUUUAGAAGCUGAGGUUGAGGUCCAGGUAUAAGAGCACAAACAAUGCAUACUAAAGGAUGGCUAUGGGUAUAGCCUAGGCCUUAUGGUCCGUAGGAUAUCACAUAUUUAUUUUUUAUUAAGUAAUUUUUCCCAAAUUAGAACAAUUGUCUGGUGAAAAUUUUCAAACUUUGAAAUAAAAGUUGCAGUACUAAAAUCAGUUAUAAUUAAACCUAAACUUUUUCUUUUUCAAUUACUAUUACGAUAAAUUGGUAGUGGUACGUGCUGUAAAUAUUACAUCUACUUAUAAUGUCAGCACCCAAAAAUUAUUUUUAUAAUGUAAAAUUUACAUUGUCAUUAAUUUGCUUUAUUAAUUUUUAUUAUAACUAUUUUAAAUUUAUAUUAUUAUCAUAAAAUCUGAAAAAUCGUAUCUAUAAUUUUUAAUUAAGCGUAAAAUUUUGUAACUUUUAUAAAUUUUAGUAAAUAUUAAAAAAAUAUAUAAUAUAAUGCUAGUAUUUUUCAAAAAAAUCAACAUUAUCAUUAAAUAAACCUGUGUGUUGUACAAUAAUUCCCUUUUAUCAUUCAAAAGAAAAAUUGAAACUGUUAUUCAAAAUAAAAUAACCAUUAGUGAAUUUUAUGAUAAUUACCUUAAUGAUUAAAUAUAUUUAGUUAAUUUUUUUUGCUCCCUAAUAAAUUUUUGUUUUGUUUUGAGUAUUAUAUAAAACAAUAAUUUUAUUUUUGGUCCUAGAUAUUUUGUUGUAUAUAAUCCCUAAUAAGUUAGCAAAUUUUUGUUUACUUCCUUUUAAAUUAACAAAUUUUGUUUUAGUCCCAACUAAUAACAAAUGAAAAAAAUUAUCAAGAAAUAAACACACAAUUUGUGAAUCUAUCAGGGACUAAGAAAAGUAUCAAGAACCAAAAUAAAAUGAUUUUUUUAUUAGAAACUCAACGAAAAGUAAAAAUUUAUUAAAAAUUAAAUACAAAAAAUAAAUAUUUAUUAGGGAUUAAAAUUAUAAUUAAAACUUGUCUUAAAUAUUAAAUCUAUUAUAAUUAUUAAUUGGUUCACAACAUAUAAAUAUUUACACUUGUUAAAAUAUACUAUAAUUUCUCUUAAAUUAUUAGGUAAAAUUGGUAAGAGUGUGAGAAACUUAAUUAUUUAUCAAUACCAGCUAUGUGAAUGAACUAAUGUGAGUUUUUGAGCUAGAGACUCUUGGGAAAAAAAUAUUGUCUCAUAAUGAGAAGAAUACAUCAUAAAAAAAUAGAAAAUAUAAAAAUUUGUUUAAUAUGUUUCAACCCUCAUCCUUGCAUUGACAAUAUUAUACAUUUUAAGGAUAACAUAGAAAAAUUUACAAACAUUUUCUCCUUACGAUUUCCCCUCUGUUUGUUAGGGUAGUGACAGUUUCUUCGCACUAGAUGUGGUGAUUCUUCUCAUCUCAAAAAAUCUCUAUUUAUAAACCUAACAUUCUAAUAUUAACUGAAUUCAAAUCCUUAAUUUAUAAAUAAUAUAUUUAAUUCUAAAUGAUAUCCUAAAAAUAAGAUAAUAUCUUUUUUAAAAGCUAAACAAUAUCCUAUAGAUUUGUUAUUCAUUGAUUGAACCAUCAUUAAUUCCUACAUCCACAACUUUUAUAUAAGAUUUUAUGACAAGCAAGACAAACUUGCAAACCUUCCCUUGAUAUGACUCAUCUCUCUUAGGGUAUUGACCUAGGUUGAGUGAUUAUUCUUAUCUCAUAAAUCUUAUUUUAUAGACAUAACAUUCUAAUCUUAAAUGAGGAAACAAAUACCUAAUUUAUUAAUAAUAUAUUUAAUUUUAUCAACAUUCUAAAAAUAAGAUAAUAUCUUUUUUUAAGAAAAUAAAUAUCUUAUAGAUUUGAGAAUACAAAUAAGAUAUAUCUAACAAGAAGCAAAGUUGGACUUAUGUAGAUCAACCAACUAAUCCCUAUACCCACUCAUCACCUAAGCUCAGCCAAAACUCGCUUAGGCCUCAACCCUGCAUCGCUUAAGCUCUUAGCCAACACCACUUAAGCUACAUAAAAAAACAUGCUAAUUUUUGUGCCCAUUCUAGCUUAAGCGCUACCCAACACCAUUUAAGCUACUUCAAACUAAUUUACUCAAAUUAAAAAGAAUAAUGAUUCAACUAUUUAAUCACUACACAUUAAAUACCUAAUUUAUUUUCCGCACAUCACGCAACUGGUCCAUUUAUCUUUUUUAUUUAUUUCUUACAUGUAAUUUUCUUUUUAUUUUUUAAAAUCCAAAAUUUUCAUCUCUAUUUUAAAAUAAAGAUAUUUAAUCGAUUGUUUUUUACGAUCUAUAAUUUUAAUUUUCUAUUUUAAAAUAGAAAUAUUAGUCAUUUAUAUUUAUAAAAUAUGGAAUUUUAGUUAUCCCCAACUAAAAGCUUUGAUUGUUAAGAGCUUAAUCUUUAUUAUGAUAUAGAUUAACUAAAUUAUCUUGUGUCACAUUAUUAGAUUUGAAUCACAUCAAGUUAGCUUCUUACUAAUCAACGCUAAAUGAUUAUGUGGAUAUAAUCACAAAUGAUCAAAAUUAUAAAUUUUAUAACCUUAAGUAAUUAAUUGUUUUUAUUUUAAAAUAGAAGUAUUAAAAUUGUAAAAUAUAAAAAUUAAGACGGUCAAAUAUUUUUUAAAAUAUAGAAAUCAAAAUUAGAUAUUUUGAAAAUAGGAAAAAAUUACAUUUAAGUUUUUAUUUUUAUUUUUUACCGGAGGUCCAUAUGUCUAGUACUUAGAAAUCACGUCAUUAUAAAAAUGCGCCACUAGAGCAUAAUAUAAUAGCAUGAAGGACGUCAUUAUAAUUACAUUUAAGCCAUGAAGAACGUUGUUAUAUAUGCCAAUCCGCAAUACAUGGAAACUUCUGUUAUGGUUAGUGACACCAACAACACUGAUCAUGAAACCAACUACGCUGAUUCUGUGACUGUAACAAAAAAAAACAAUUACUAUGAAAAUGGACAAAAUUCGAAAUGACUUUGUAAGCAUUGCACAACAGAUUUGUAGGAGAGAUAUUCCAAAUGCCAUUGGAGAGCUUCACUCACUCAGAGGGCUAAACCUUUCCCAUAACAGAUUUAUUGGUCCUAUUCUACAAUCCAUUGGAAAUUUGACAAAGUUAGAAUCAUUGGAUCUCUCCUCAAAUAUGCUCACUGGCGGGAUACCUAGAGAAUUAAGCAAUUUGAACUUUCUUGAAGUCCAAAAUCUUUCCAAUAACCAUCUUGCAUUUGUGGGAGAAAUACCUCAAGGAAAACAGUUCAGUACUUUUUCCAAUGACUCCUAUGGUAGAAACUUGGGGUUGUGUGGACUCCCAUUGACAGCAGAAUGCAGCAAGGACCUUGAACAACAUUCUCCACCUUCACUAACCGUUGGGGGAGAACAGGGAGUUGGAUUUGGUUGGAAACCAGUGGCUAUGUGAUAUGGAUGCGGAAUGGUCUUUGGAGUGGGAAUGGGAUGUUGUGUAUUGUUAAUAGGAAAGCCUCAAUGGCUUGUGAGAAUGGUUGGAGGUCAACUCAAUAAAAAGGUGAAAAGGAAGACAAGGAUGAGAUCUAAUGAAAAUGGUAGCAGAAUGAAUUAGUUGAUAUGUGGCAUGACUGUAGAAUGUUUUCUUGCUCACCUUCCUGUUGAAAUUCAAUUCUGCCUUGUUGGAAAACAAAACUUAAGGGCAAGAACUUUAUCACACUGCAUUGCAUAUGCAUGGGAGAUCUGAUUCAAAGUUUAGUUGUAAUUGUAAUAUGGUGUUGUACUUUUUUUUCUUUGUGUUCAAUAAAUGAGUGUGAUAUACUUUUUUUUUUCUUCCAUUGCCCCAGAAACUCGGGUCUGAAUCAUCCAAAAGUUUGAUAAUUUUUCUGUUCAUUAAUACGCUUAGAUUGUUUUAUUUUUUUUAACAUUUUUAUAUCGGUGAAUUGUAUCAAGUUAAGUAGUGAAUAAUGUGUUGACAAUCAACAAUCAUUUCGUUAAUAUGCUGCAGAUUACAAAAUUGUAGCAGUCAUUAAUAGGCAAAUAUUGACCUGGGGGGAUUUCUUUUAGAAACUAAUUUCCAACCAUUUUGAAACAUCUACAGUUUUUUUAUUAUAAAAUAAGUGUUGGAUUCUUAAAAUAUGAUGUCAAGUUUCCUUAUAUAAUUUAUUUGGUGACCUAUUGCGGAUAAUCUCCCUGGCAUUUACUACUCUCUUGGAUUUUUCAAAAAAUUGAUAUUAGAACCAAUGGUUCGAUUUGAUGACUAGCUUAGACAAGUAAGAUGACAUCGAUGAAUUCAUGGAUAUAGAGUCCUUUGUAUCAAAAGUCUUUUUGACAGGUGAAUUCAUGCAUGAAUGUCAGGUAGCAGAGUUGCAUGUGUUGCAAUAGUGCAAGAUACUAGAACAUGUUAUGACAAUGGCUAGACAAGCUAGGGUAAUAAAGAUUAAGUUUUAAGAGUCACCAUUGAAUAUUCCUGAAUUGAAAAUGAUUUCCAUCCAAUGGAAAGGUUAACAUGUGGAAGAGACACAAACUUGAGAAAAAGAUUGUUAAAAUAUAAGUGUGAGAAAAAAUCUCAUAUUAGAUCGAAAUGACAGUUGAGUAUCAUAUAACAAGUGAGAAGAAAAUCAUAAACAUGAGUGAUAUGAUUUUAAUUUAAAAUAUGAUGUAAAAAUCACUUACAUAAUUACUCGGGAUAAAAUAUUUGAAGGAAAAAGAAUUGACUUGAGAGCCUUUUUCUUAGUUUACAUCUCGUUGUGCCAUUAACAAUUGAUAAUUCUGUCGAGCAUGCUAUAUUGUAAAGAAAAAUACUUCUCUCUUUAUUUGUUCAUUUUACAUAUUUCCUGGUGUCAAAAAAUUCUUUUUAUUGUAUUUUUAUAUCCUUUAAAAUAAAUUUGCUUUUGAAGUUUUCUCUUGGACCAGAUACCAUACAAAGAAUUUCACAUAAUGUAAAUGCACGGGGUUCUUUUUUAAUUUUGAUUUUGUGGCAUUUAUCUCUAUAUUUGGUUGAUAUAUUUGAAACUUGAUAGCGAUUAGCUGAUGUAUCAGUCAACGGACCCUAGUAUGGAAAAAGAAUAUGGUGAAGACAGAAUUUUUCCACAAACUAAUGUAUCAGCGUGAGUUUCCUUUAAUUUUCUUUUGAUUUAAACAUUUUUGUGGACGUAUUUUAAUUUUCCUUUUUGAUGUGAUUGGCGAGCUUAAUUUUCUAACCCAUAUUUUAAGGGUUGGCAGACUUGGAAAACAAUUGCUUGGAUUUAACUGAAGUGGCUGUUUAUACAUGUUUUCUUUUUAGAAUCAUAUCACAUAUAUGUAGUCGAUCUGUUGGUGAGGUAGACAGUGGGAGCUUAUGUUUUGUGCAGAGAUUGUGUCCUCAAACUUUCAUGUGAUAAGACAAAUUAACUUCUGAAUUUUCACAAUAAUACAGUUCUAUUCUAUCAUAAGAAAAAAAAAAAUACCACCAAUAACUUGUAGAUGCAUUUUCUCUUAAACAGGUGGUAUUCUAUCUCUGUGUUCAAUUAUAUCUUUUGGCUGGAAUCUUCCGUGUUCAUAUGUUGGGGAUUAAAAUAUUUAAUAGGGAUUAAUUAACAGGAAUAUAUCCAGAAAACAAGUAGUGUUCAAUUUUCCUUUUUGAUGUGAUUAGAGUGUCUAAUUUUCUAACCCAUAUUUUUAAGGUUGUAAGACUCGGAAAACAAUUGUUUGGUUUAACUAAAUUGGUUUAUACAUGUUUUGUUUUCUGAAUGAUAUGUAGCAUGCUUUCUGCGGUAGAAAACUAAGUCAGUCGAUCACAUGAGACAAAAAUUAAAUAUUUUCAUCGUCACCGUUGUAAUAGCUUGCUACAUUAAACAUAAUUAGUAAUAUAUUUUUUUUAAUUAUUAUCAAAACAAGGAUAAAAUUUUCAUGAUUAAACAAAAUAUCUAUUAAACUUAUUUAAAAAUGAUGGAUUAGUAAAAGCGAUGUAAAGGCAUAAAUUAUUAUAUGAAGAAUUAUCUUCCAAAAAUAAAAUCAACUCAUGAUACAAAAAUAAACAGAGUUUGAAGUAUAUAUAUAUAUAUAUAUAUAUAUAUAUAUAACUCUGUCAAUUGAAUAAUAGUUGGGGGGCGGGACCUAGGAUUUAUCUAGACAUAGCUUUCUAACUCUUAACAACUAAAAUUUCUAGACACAAGCCCGAUUAGAAGAUCAACAGUACAUACACCUCAACUCAUGACAAAAACCUUUAUAUUCCAUAGAUAAACUUAAAUUUCUCAAUUUAGGAGUACGAUUUGUCAAAUCUUAGACUUAAUCUAAUUAUAUUUGAACGGGUUAAUUUGAGUUGAUUUUCUAAAAAAUAUAUGAAAUUUAACCAAAACCAACUUAUUUAUAAAUUGUUUGAGUUUGAUUGGAUCAACCAAGGUAACAAUUUAAUAAUAUUUACAACAAUUUAAUAACACUUAAAACUCAUCCACCAUGUCUUAACAAUGUCCAACUCCUAAAUUGUGACAAAUAUAAGUUUUCUAACUUAUAAAUAAUUUAAUAUAUAAAUUUAAAUUUUCACAAAUAUUAAUUUUAAAAGAAUUUGUUUAAAUGAUAUAAUUUUGAAAAGUAUGUUAAUUUUAUACAUAUUCUUUCAACAAAUAUUUUAGAAUUAUGUAUUCUUUUUAAUUAAAUGUAAUAUUUAUUUUUAAAUAUUUCUAACAUCUUGAAAUUAUAUCAUAUACAAUUAUCCAUUUACAAAUAAUUUUAUAAAUGAUAUACUUUUGACAAAUUUAUUUUUUAUGUAUAAUUUCAAAAAAUAUUUUAUAAUUUAAAUUUUUAUAGUUUAAGGUAAUAUUUAUAUUUUAGAUGUUUUUCUCCGAAUUAUAUAUAUCAUAAACAAUUAUUUCUAGCGUUAUUUCAAAAUAAAUUUUGGGGAGCAAUUGCAUAAAUUAGUAAGGCAAAGGUUUUAGCUUGACAAUUGAAAAAAAAAUGCAUAAAAAAGGAUAUCCAUUAUUGAAAUAAAAUAAAUUUCUUUAAUUAAAUUAUAAUAUAUUUUAUUUUGGAAAGUGAAGGAAACACGUCAUAAAAAAACAAAAAAAAAAAAACUAAAAAGCUCCAUUGUUUUUAAAACUCAUAAAUCCAUAUACCUGAAUAGGGUUAAAAAAAUUCUUCAAAAUCUCUAUCACUCUUUUAUAGUAUCAAAUUUAAAUUAUUUUCCUAUUUUUAAGAUGACAAAUUGUUUCUGUAAAAAGACAAUAAAUUAUUAAAAAUAAAUUCAAAUAUAUAUAUAAUUAUAAACAAAACUAAAAAUAUUUUUUAUAAACAAAUCAUAUGAAAAAAAAUUCAAUUCAAUGAGCUAGUUCACAAGCUAGUUCUGUCAAGCACACCCUAUCUCUUCCUUAAAACAUUUUUUUGUUUAAAUCGUUUAGAUUUAAAUAGGUAAAUUUUUUAUUUUUUGGUUUUUUCCCUUUUAAAUUAUUGUUAAAUUUUUGCUCCCAAAAAAAUAAUUUUUGUAUUUUAUUUUUUGACUUUGGAUUUAUUUAGAUAGGGCUUUAGAAAAUGGAAUAAAAUUAUUUUGAUAGUUAUUUAGCAAAAAAACAAAAGAAAAAAUUAUUACAAACCAAAAAGUUAACAAAAAUUUAUUAGGAAUAAAAAAAAUUAAUGAUUUAUCAAGAACUAAAAAUAUAUUUAAAUUGUUUAUAACAUAAAAGAACAUGAAAAAUCAACCAUUAUGCAAUUCUCUUUGAACAAAAUUGUAAGAUGUAACAUUUUUAAAAUAAAUUUCAGAGAGCAACUCAGUCCAUACACUAAGAUAGUGUUUUACCUUGACAGUUGAAAAAAUGCAUUAAAAAGAAGGAUUUGCCGUGAAGGUUUCAAGAAAAUACAUGCAUGUGUAAUGUUAUUUCAUUUCUAGUUGGUAUUUUAAAGGGAAAACAUGGUUAAACAAAGAUAUGAAGUAGAAAAAUAAAAUAAAUCAUGUUUACAGAAAAAAUGAGUUCCAAGUCAAGUCAAUUUAAAUUGCAAUUGCUGGGACAACUUUGAUAGCGUGUAAAAGGAUCAUAAAAUUUAUGUGUCAAUUUGCGUGAGGUUUGGGCUGUUGAAGUCUUGAAGCUUAAUUUAGCCACAAAUUUUGCAUAUCAUCUUUUUAAUUUGACUAUAAAUAUUAAUGUUUGGUUGCUCAGUAUUAAUUUCAUGUAUAUUUUCCAUCCCUUAUAGUAAAGAGUAUUUGAGUAGAAAAUGGAAUCAUGGAUGUGGUGUUUCCUUCUCUGUUCCCAUUUGCUCAUCCUUUAUUUUUCACCCUCUCAUUCCUUAUGCCACCCCCAUGACACCUCUGCCUUGCUCCACUUCAAAAACUCCUUCACUAUUAAUACUAGUUAUGGCCAUAAUGAAUAUCCUUAUUAUUAUCAUAAAUGUGAUACUGGUUAUUCAAAGACGAGAACAUGGGAAAAUGGGACAGAUUGUUGCUCUUGGGCUGGAGUCACCUGCCACCCCAUCUCAGGUCAUGUCACUGACCUCGACCUCAGCUGCAGUGGCCUUCACGGCAAUAUCCAUCCAAACAGUACGCUUUUCCAUCUUUCUCAUCUUCACUCACUCAACCUUGCUUUCAAUCAUUUGUAUCAAUCUCAUUGGUCAUCUCUCUUUGGUGGGUUUGUGAGCCUCACUCAUCUCAACUUGUCUUAUUCUGAAUUUGAAGGGGAUAUUCAUUCCCAAAUCUCUCACCUUUCCAAAUUAGUCUCGCUUGAUCUCUCAGGUAAUGAUUUGUUAGAGUGGAAGGAAGACACUUGGAAGAGAUUGCUCCAAAAUGCAACAGUUUUAAGGGUGCUUGUUUUGGAUGGAGCAGAUAUGUCUUCCAUUUCAAUCAGGACACUCAAUAUGUCUUCCUCUUUGGUUACUCUUAGUCUUCGAUACAGUGGGCUAAGAGGAAACUUGACAGAUGGCAUUCUCUGUUUACCAAAUCUUCAGCACUUGGAUCUUUCAGGAAACUGGGUCCGUGGAGGCCAGCUUGCAGAAGUGAGUUGCAGCACAACUUCUCUUGAUUUCUUAGCUCUUUCAGAUUGUGUUUUCCAAGGGUCAAUCCCUCCCUUCUUCUCUAACCUCACACAUCUUACUUCCCUGGAUCUCUCAUAUAACAACCUCAACGGUCCAAUCCCUCCCUCUUUCUUCAACCUCACACAUCUCACUUCCCUAGACCUCUCAGGUAUCAACCUCAACGGUUCAAUCCCAUCCUCACUCUUAACCCUUCCACGGCUAAACUUUCUGAAACUACAGAAUAACCAACUCAGUGGUCAAAUCCCAGAUGUCUUUCCUCAGUCAAACAGCUUUCACGAAUUGGAUUUGAGUGAUAACAAAAUAGAGGGUGAGCUGCCAUCAACACUUUCAAAUCUUCAACAUCUCAUUUUCUUGGAUCUUUCAUAUAAUAAAUUGGAUUUGAGUGGUAACAAAAUAGAGGGUGAGCUGCCAUCAACACUUUCAAAUCUUCAACAUCUCCUUCACUUGGAUCUUUCAUAUAAUAAAUUGGAGGGCCCUCUGCCUAACAAUAUAACAGGGUUUUCAAACCUAACAUCGUUAAGGUUAAAUGGAAACUUACUGAAUGGGACAAUUCCUUCUUGGUGUUUAUCUUUGCCAUCUUUGAAGCAGUUAGAUCUAUCAGGAAACCAACUCUCUGGGCAUAUUAGUGCAAUCUCAUCAUAUUCCUUGGAGACAUUGUCUUUAUCCCACAACAAGUUACAAGGCAAUAUUCCAGAAUCAAUUUUUAGCCUUCUAAACCUUACACUCUUAGAUCUAUCAUCAAACAAUUUAAGUGGAUCUGUCAAAUUUCAUCAUUUCUCCAAGCUUCAAAAUUUGAAAGAACUUCAACUUUCACGGAAUGAUCAGUUAUCACUAAAUUUCAAAUCCAAUGUCAAGUAUAAUUUCUCCCGUUUAUGGAGAUUGGACUUAUCUUCUAUGGAUUUAACUGAAUUUCCAAAAUUAUCGGGAAAAGUCCCAUUUUUGGAAUCACUCCAUUUGUCCAAUAACAAACUUAAAGGUAGAGUGCCAAAUUGGUUGCAUGAAACGAACUCAUUGUUAUUGGAAUUGGACCUCUCUCAUAACCUAUUGACGCAAUCAUUGGACCAAUUCUCGUGGAAGAAACCACUCGCUUACCUUGAUCUUAGUUUUAACUCAAUCACUGGUGGCUUCUCUUCCUCAAUUUGCAAUGCAAGUGCAAUUGAGAUUCUCAACUUAUCUCACAAC
rnacentral:lncRNA from 1 species